GUCUGGGCUCGCGCAGGCUCCCAGGAGACCCAUUGACGCCAGUUUUUUGAUCUGGAAGAGAAGGAAACGUAUUCAGGUUCAAAAGGAAACAAGGCUUCGGUAUCAUGAUGAGCAGCAUUAGGCUUCAGGUGCUCAUCAGCGAAGUUCCUCGCCAUCUCCUGAAUAGUUCUCUGCUGUUCUGUCAACUGGGUUGUGAAGGUGCGGCAUUGUGAUAGUGACUUUAGGCAUUUUCGGGAGUAAACUGCAAAAAUAAAUAGUGACUUAAGUCAUUUGUGGGAGUAAACUGUAAUAAGGUCUUCUCAUUAAAGAAUUUUCUUCUCCAGUUUUUAUUGAGUUUUCAUAGUCUUGGUUUUAUUUGCAUGUAAUGGGGAAUUCUUUAUGUACAGGAAUAAAAAGUCUAUGGUCUUUGAUCAGGUUCAAGCUUCUUUGAUUAAUUUCUGUUAUAUUAGCAUAAUAAACAAAGAGACUCGGAGUUUCAGGAUGGCUAACUUACUGGAUUUUAAUAUUUUACAUGCAGAGAAUAUAAGAAUUAAAUUAUUUUAGCUGAGGUUUCAGCAGUGUAAUUUUGACAAGUAACUGUGAAUUGAAUUAUAGCAUCGAACUGUAACAUUAUUGUGAAUGCGAAGUACUUGCGCACGCGCAGCUGAAUAAAUUAAAGAAGCAACAUGA